rnacentral:rRNA from 1 species
UGGGGAAUUUUGGACAAUGGGCGAAAGCCUGAUCCAGCAAUGCCGCGUGUGUGAAGAAGGCCUUCGGGUUGUAAAGCACUUUUGUCCGGAAAGAAAUCCUUGGCUCUAAUACAGUCGGGGGAUGACGGUACCGGAAGAAUAAGCACCGGCUAACUACGUGCCAGCAGCCGCGGUAAUACGUAGGGUGCAAGCGUUAAUCGGAAUUACUGGGCGUAAAGCGUGCGCAGGCGGUUUGCUAAGACCGAUGUGAAAUCCCCGGGCUCAACCUGGGAACUGCAUUGGUGACUGGCAGGCUAGAGUAUGGCAGAGAGGGGUAGAAUUCCACGUGUAGCAGUGAAAUGCGUAGAGAUGUGGAGGAAUACCGAUGGCGAAGGCAGCCCCCUGGGCCAAUACUGACGCUCAUGCACGAAAGCGUGGGGAGCAAACAGGAUUAGAUACCCUGGUAGUCCACGCCCUAAACGAUGUCAACUAGUUGUUGGGGAUUCAUUUUCCUUAGUAACGUAGCUAACGCGUGAAGUUGACCGCCUGGGGAGUACGGUCGCAAGAUUAAAACUCAAAUGAAUUGACGGGGUCAUAGCUGUUUCCU